rnacentral:rRNA from 1 species
GACGAACGCUGGCGGCGUGCUUAACACAUGCAAGUCGAACGAUGACGCCUAGCUUGCUAGGUGGAUUAGUGGCGAACGGGUGAGUAAUACGUGAGUAACCUACCUUUAACUCUGGGAUAAGCCUGGGAAACUGGGUCUAAUACCGGAUACGACCAAUCUCCGCAUGGGGUGUUGGUGGAAAGCGUUAUGUAGUGGUUAUAGAUGGGCUCACGGCCUAUCAGCUUGUUGGUGGGGUAACGGCUCACCAAGGCGACGACGGGUAGCCGGCCUGAGAGGGUGACCGGCCACACUGGGACUGAGACACGGCCCAGACUCCUACGGGAGGCAGAAGGGGGGAAUAUUGCACAAUGGGCGCAAGCCUGAUGCAGCGACGCCGGGUGAGGGAUGACGGCCUUCGGGGUGUAAACCUCUGUUAGCAGGGAAGAAGAGAAAUUGACGGUACCUGCAGAGAAAGCGCCGGCUAACUACGUG